rnacentral:lncRNA from 1 species
UAUCUCAUAUACUAAAGCAAAUAAUUUUGUCACCUCACUUGAUGAUGUGGCGUGACUGUUAAUUAAGAUAAUUCACAAAAUAGGCCGGCGGGAUUUCAAUUCUCUUGCUCCUCCUUCUCCUUGAAACUGUGGCUUUAUGUUUUAGGAAAUCACAAAUUUCUCUCAAUCAGUUUCAAUCUUUCCAUAAUCAUGAAAUAGUCUCACCUGUUCUUUGAUAAUCGAUCUUUCCAUAAUUAUGAAAUCCUUCUCUUGCAAGCUGUAUAUUCAAAUUAAAAACCCUCAACCUUCAUCUUUUUUGCGAUUAUUCUCAGCCACUCUUCCCUGCUGUAUUUUUUUUUAUGUGGGUUCAUAAAGUCUAAGUUGAGGAAAGAAGUUGAUGAGGUUGUAAUAUUUCAAGAUGGAAUGUAUCUGACUUUAAGAGAAAUUUUUGAGAGCUUGAAUUUAAAUUGGUAAUAAAAAAACCAUUUGAAUGUUGCAUACUUUUUUUUAUGUAUAUCACUUAUUCAUAGAUUUGCUGUUCGAAUUUCAUUCAAUUGCUCUUAGGGAUGUAUGUUCUUAUCUUGAUUUAGUUCUCUAAAAUUUUGUGUUUUUUAUACCUUUAUACUUUUAUGUAUUGACUUGAUGACAUUCACAAAUUCAACACA